rnacentral:lncRNA from 1 species
CAAGUAACUUCUUCAUAUGAACUUCAAAACUGAGCCCUUAGAUUAACUCCACAAUUUCUACAUCACUUAGAAUUCUUAUUACCCUCAUCUCGGCCAGACUAACUUAAAACCUUGUUCUUGAAGAAUUACCCUCUUGAGCCACUUAUACUACAACCACCCUUGAUCAUCUGUUCUAAAACCUUUCUUCUUCUUUCCUCAUUCACUGUGCUCUUAAUUCUCUAACCUUAUACUUUCCGGUCAAACUGACAUUCUGAUGUAGUCCUUCCUUUGACACUUGAAAUCGCUCAUCUCAGUCAAUGGUCAAACCUUUAUUCUAAAUUAUCCACAAUUCUUGAAACGCCAAUCUAAACUUGGGUAUGGCAAAUCCACUUGUUGAUAAUUG